rnacentral:rRNA from 1 species
AGCGAACGCUGGCGGCAGGCUUAACACAUGCAAGUCGAGCGGGGUGAUGGUGCUUGCACUAUCACUUAGCGGCGGACGGGUGAGUAAUACUUAGGAAUCUGCCUAUUAGUGGGGGACAACAUCUCGAAAGGGAUGCUAAUACCGCAUACGUCCUACGGGAGAAAGCAGGGGAUCACUUGUGACCUUGCGCUAAUAGAUGAGCCUAAGUCGGAUUAGCUAGUUGGUGGGGUAAAGGCCUACCAAGGCGACGAUCUGUAGCGGGUCUGAGAGGAUGAUCCGCCACACUGGGACUGAGACACGGCCCAGACUCCUACGGGAGGCAGCAGUGGGGAAUAUUGGACAAUGGGGGGAACCCUGAUCCAGCCAUGCCGCGUGUGUGAAGAAGGCCUUAUGGUUGUAAAGCACUUUAAGCGAGGAGGAGGCUCUUUUGGUUAAUAACCAAGAUGAGUGGACGUUACUCGCAGAAUAAGCACCGGCUAACUCUGUGCCAGCCGCCGCAGUAA